CGCCUUUGGAGUAAGAUCAAAAGGUCGAGCCUGGCCCGGUGACAUGAGUGUUAAACGGCUGCAGUACUCUGACUGUGCAAAGGUAGCAAAAUCAAUUGUUCAUUAAUUGUGGACUGGAAUCAAUGGUUUGACGAUAGAAGAGCUGUCUUUUUCCACUGGGGUUCUAAAUUAACAAAAAAGUGAAGAGACUUUUAUGUCGAAGCGGGACGAGAAGACCCCGUUGAGCUUUAGGGGGGCACAUUUUUUAAAAAUGUGGCUGCCUUGAGUUGGGGCAACUGUUUUUAUGUUAUAAAACAAAAGCAAUUACAAUAGUGAGUUAAAUCUAUUUUGAUCCUUGAAGUUUGGGUAAAUAAAUCAAGUUACCACGGGGAUAACAGCGUAAUUUUUUUUGAGAGUUCUUAUUGACAAAAAAGUUUGCGACCUCGAUGUUGGAUCACAGUAACCUAGGGGUGCAGCAGCUCCUAAGGGUUGGUUUGUUCAACCAUUAAAACUGU
rnacentral:rRNA from 1 species